rnacentral:lncRNA from 1 species
AGAACCUCUCUUCAUCUAUAAAAGAGAGGAUUCAAUCCUUUGUAAAGCAACUUGAAUUGAAGUAAAGAAAUGCUGCCAAAUUUCAGCUUUCACUCUCAAGUUCACCCUUGUGCUUUGUUAUCUUGCACUUCCUCUAGCUCCUUUCCCCUUAGGAAAGCUCUCUGAGUUAGAAUUCACCAAUACACCAUCACCAACCUCUCACGGACCUUCAUCAAACACCUUGAAUACACUUCUUCCAUCAUCAUUGCUUCAUUCACCCGUUGCCAAUUCUGCUGCCGUGAAGCUUCCCCAAGCAUGAAUUCAAUGGAGGCUUCCAUCAGUUUUUCCAAAAAAUCUUAGUCAAUUUAAGGUUAUAAGGUCCCUUUCCAAUCAUCAAUUGG